rnacentral:rRNA from 1 species
CGUGCAGGUGGUUUGGUAAGUUGGGUAUGAAAUCUCCUGGCUUAACUGGGAGAGGUUGCUCAAAACUGCCAGACUAGAGGACGAUAGAGGAAGGUGGAAUUCCCGGUGUAGUAGUGAAAUGCGUAGAUAUCGGGAGGAACACCAGUGGCGAAGGCGGCCUUCUGGGUCGUUCCUGACACUAAGACGCGAAAGCAUGGGUAGCAAACG